GAUAAACGCUGGCGGUGUACAUAAGACAUGCAAGUCGAACGGGAGAAACUAAGAUGGAUUUAUUCAACUUAGCAGACACCGUGGCGGAUGGGUGAGUAACACGUAAGCAACCUGCCUAAAAAAGGGGAAUAACAGAGAGAAAUUUCUGAUAAUACCGCAUAUACCAAAGUAUCGCAUGGUACAAUUGGGAAAGAUUUAUCACUUUUAGAUGGGCUUGCGUCUGAUUAGCUAGUUGGUGAGAUAAUAGCUCACCAAGGCGACGAUCAGUAGCCGGAUUGAGAGGUUGAACGGCCACAUUGGGACUGAGACACGGCCCAGACUCCUACGGGAGGCAGCAGUCGGGAAUAUUGCACAAUGGAGGAAACUCUGAUGCAGUGACACCGCGUAUAGGAAGAAGGCCUUAGGGUUGUAAGCUAUUGUCGUGUGAGAAGAAAAUGACUAUCACAGGAGGAAGCCCUGGCUAAAUAUGUGCCAGCAGCCGCGGUAAUACAUAUGGGGCGAGCGUUAUCCGGAUUUAUUGGGUGUAAAGGGUUCGUAGGCGGGAAAGUAAGUCAGUAUGUGAAAUCCCUCGGCUCAACCGAGGAACUGCGAUUGAAACUAUUUUUCUUGAGUACUGGAGGGGAAAGUGGAAUUCUUAGUGUAGCGGUGAAAUGCGUAGAUAUUAGGAAGAACACCAGUGGCGAAGGCGACUUUCUGGACAGUAACUGACGCUGAGGAACGAAAGUGUGGGGAGCAAACAGGAUUAGAUACCCUGGUAGUCCACACUGUAAACGAUGGAUACUAGGGGUUGGCAUAGGAAAUGUCGGUCCCGCAGUUAACGCAUUAAGCAUCCCACCUGGGGAGUACGACCGCAAGGUUAAAACUCAAAGGAAUUGACGGGGGCCCGCACAAGCAGUGGGGUAUGUGGUUUAAUUCGACGCAACGCGAAGAACCUUACCAGGGCUUGACAUGAUUAGGAAUAUAUAAGAGAUUAUAUAGCUCUACGGAGUCUAAUUACAGGUGGUGCAUGGUUGUCGUCAGCUCGUGUCGUGAGAUGUUGGGUUAAGUCCCUAAACGAGCGCAACCCUUAUCGCUAGUUGCUAACAUUAAGUUGAGGACUCUAGUGAGACUGCCGUUUAUUAAAACGGAGGAAGGAGAGGAUGACGUCAAAUCAUCAUGCCCUUUAUGUCCUGGGCUACACACGUACUACAAUGGGUAGGACAAAGGGAAGCAACGGAGUGAUCCUGAGCAAAACCCAAAACCUAUUCACAGUUCGGAUUGAAGGCUGAAAUUCGCCUUCAUGAAGCCGGAAUUGCUAGUAAUGGCAGGUCAGCAUACUGCCGUGAAUACGUUCCCGGGCCU
rnacentral:rRNA from 1 species